rnacentral:rRNA from 1 species
AGUGAACGCUGGCGGUAGGCCUAACACAUGCAAGUCGAACGGCAGCACAGUAAGAGCUUGCUCUUACGGGUGGCGAGUGGCGGACGGGUGAGGAAUACAUCGGAAUCUACUUUUUCGUGGGGGAUAACGUAGGGAAACUUACGCUAAUACCGCAUACGACCUACGGGUGAAAGCAGGGGAUCUUCGGACCUUGCGCGAUUGAAUGAGCCGAUGUCGGAUUAGCUAGUUGGCGGGGUAAAGGCCCACCAAGGCGACGAUCCGUAGCUGGUCUGAGAGGAUGGGCGGCCGCACUGGAACUGAGAGACGGUCAAGACUACGAAGGGAGGCAGCAGGAGGGAAGGGGGCGCAAUGGGCGAAAGUCGGAAGGAGCAACGGCGGGGGAGGGAGGAAGGUCUUCGGAUCGGAAAACUCUGUGAGUAGGGAAGAAAAUAUGUGUAAGUAACUGUGCAGAGCUUGACGGUACUUAAUCAGAAAGACACGGCUAACUACGUG